GGUAUAGGAUGCUUUCCCUAGAAACGGACACAUUAAAUGCUCUGCAGUCUCGGCUCAGCCAUGUGAAGCAGCCAUGCAGCACUGGAUAAAUGAGUGGGCAUCUGAGAUCAUGGGUGACUGCAGCACACAGAGAAAGUCAUGCAAAAGGAAGACGCAGCUUAAGUGCCACAUCACGAACGUGUGCACGUGGUUUGGGCAGUUCAAAGACAGUUCCUUCAGUGAUGGGCAGUGCUAUUAUCUGAUAAUACCUGAAAUCACUUUAUUAGGUGCUACGUCCUGCCUCGGGUGAAUUAUUCCAGUGCUGUGACUCAGGAGAGCAGUUGCUGCUGGGGUGAUGGUCUGCACCUGCCGCUGGUGUCUCCUGGCACACAGGAUGAAGCCCAUGGGCCAUGCCAAUGCUGCAGCUGGAGCACAGCUGCCGAGCCCGAGCAGCUCGGCUCACGCUUGUCCCGCCGAGCACGAGGCCCCGCGCUCUCCAGGAACACUCCUGUUGGCAUGGACCGGAGUCCUGCAGGUUGGAAAGCACACGGUGCCCGAGGAGAGUGCUCAAAUACCUCUGACACCGAGACCCUCUCCCAAGUCAGAAGCUACAGUGAACUCAUCUGACAGGCAAACACGGCCACGCCGGUGUGCGAACAAACGGCAGCAUCUGUCCGCCUGGCUUCAGUGGUGCUCCUCGUGCGAGGGCUGCGCUCCAAACGCCGGCGGUGCCCGGAGCCUCGGAGCCAAGUGCUCGCUCUGUGCUCCAGCGCGGGGCGCAGCCUCCCCGCUGCACCCAGGUGGUAGCUGUUUGUUUCCCUGGCUGGAACCCCCGGGGUGCAGAAGUCAUCUCUCCUGGUCUUGUGUGAGGCUUCGCCCCCACAAAUCUGUGCACAGAGAGAGGAAGGUGCUGCUGCCAGGCCACGCCUCUGCAGAGCCAGGUGCGAGCCCCCCGUGCAUGCCUGGAGCUGGGUCUUGGGGCGGUGUGAGCCUGCGCACGCCUCCAUCCAUCGUCUCCAGCCAGGGUGCUCGCCCCAGGGCCGCGCUGCCCACCCGCUGCACACCCCAGGAGACACAGCAGCACUCAGAACCCUCUCAUGCUCAUCCUUCUCCAGUACUGCAGCCUCUUCUGCAGGUCUUGGCUGGCUCCAGCAGGGAAUUUGAAGGCUCUCUUCCCAGCCAUCGCUUGGGCUAG
rnacentral:lncRNA from 1 species